rnacentral:rRNA from 1 species
AGAAUCAACGCUGGCGGCGUGCCUAACACAUGCAAGUCGCACGAGAAAGUGGAGCAAUCCAUGAGUACAGUGGCGCACGGGUGAGUAACACGUGAAUAAUCUACCUCCGAGUGGGGAAUAACUGAGAGAAAUCUUAGCUAAUACCGCAUAAUACCCACGGGUCAAAGCAGCAAUGCGCUUGGAGAGGAGUUCGCGGCCGAUUAGCUAGUUGGCGGGGUAAUGGCCCACCAAGGCGAUGAUCUGUA